GAUCCUGGCUCAGGAUGAACGCUAGCUACAGGCUUAACACAUGCAAGUCGAGGGGCAGCAUGGUCUUAGCUUGCUAAGGCCGUUGGCGACCGGCGCACGGGUGAGUAACACGUAUCCAACCUGCCGUCUACUCUUGGACAGCCUUCUGAAAGGAAGAUUAAUACAAGAUGGCAUCAUGGGUUCACAUGUUCACAUGAUUAAAGGUAUUCCGGUAGACGAUGGGGAUGCG
rnacentral:rRNA from 1 species